GAGAUAGCUGGUUCUCUCCGAAAUAGCUUUAGGGCUAGCCUCAAGUGAUGAUUAUUGGAGGUAGAGCACUGUUUGGACGAGGGGCCCCUCUCGGGUUACCGAAUUCAGACAAACUCCGAAUGCCAAUUAAUUUAACUUGGGAGUCAGAACAUGGGUGAUAAGGUCCGUGUUCGAAAGGGAAACAGCCCAGACCACCAGCUAAGGUCCCAAAAUAUAUGUUAAGUGGAAAAGGAUGUGGCGUUGCCCAGACAACUAGGAUGUUGGCUUAGAAGCAGCCAUCAUUUAAAGAGUGCGUAAUAGCUCACUAGUCGAGUGACACUGCGCCGAAAAUGUACCGGGGCUAAACAUAUUACCGAAGCUGUGGAUUGUCCUUUGGACAAUGGUAGGAGAGCGUUCUAAGGGCGUUGAAGCAUGAUCGCAAGGACAUGUGGAGCGCUUAGAAGUGAGAAUGCCGGUGUGAGUAGCGAAAGACGGGUGAGAAUCCCGUCCACCGAUUGACUAAGGUUUCCAGAGGAAGGCUCGUCCGCUCUGGGUUAGUCGGGUCCUAAGCUGAGGCCGACAGGCGUAGGCGAUGGAUAACAGGUUGAUAUUCCUGUACCACCUAUAAUCGUUUUAAUCGAUGGGGGGACGCAGUAGGAUAGGCGAAGCGUGCGAUUGGAUUGCACGUCUAAGCAGUAAGGCUGAGUAUUAGGCAAAUCCGGUACUCGUUAAGGCUGAGCUGUGAUGGGGAGAAGACAUUGUGUCUUCGAGUCGUUGAUUUCACACUGCCGAGAAAAGCCUCUAGAUAGAAAAUAGGUGCCCGUACCGCAAACCGACACAGGUAGUCAAGAUGAGAAUUCUAAGGUGAGCGAGCGAACUCUCGUUAAGGAACUCGGCAAAAUGACCCCGUAACUUCGGGAGAAGGGGUGCUCUUUAGGGUUAACGCCCAGAAGAGCCGCAGUGAAUAGGCCCAAGCGACUGUUUAUCAAAAACACAGGUCUCUGCUAAACCGUAAGGUGAUGUAUAGGGGCUGACGCCUGCCCGGUGCUGGAAGGUUAAGAGGAGUGGUUAGCUUCUGCGAAGCUACGAAUCGAAGCCCCAGUAAACGGCGGCCGUAACUAUAACGGUCCUAAGGUAGCGAAAUUCCUUGUCGGGUAAGUUCCGACCCGCACGAAAGGCGUAACGAUUUGGGCACUGUCUCAACGAGAGACUCGGUGAAAUCAUAGUACCUGUGAAGAUGCAGGUUACCCGCGACAGGACGGAAAGACCCCGUGGAGCUUUACUGUAGCCUGAUAUUGAAAUUCGGCACAGCUUGUACAGGAUAGGUAGGAGCCUUUGAAACGUGAGCGCUAGCUUACGUGGAGGC
rnacentral:rRNA from 1 species